rnacentral:lncRNA from 1 species
CACGAUCUUUAUUAUCCAGUGUUAAUUGAUUCUUGUAUUUACAAAAGGGCUAGAACACCGUGCCAGCCCAUAUGUAAGUGCUUACCUGAAAGGUGUCAACUAGUGUCGCAUCAGACUCACUACCGUUAGAGUCAUUGUAUUAUUUGCUUGCUAGUACUUGACCUAAUGUAAUGAAUGGAAAAAAUGGAGGAAAGUCUGCAAUGUUCAGUUUUGUAGGG